UGUUUAUCCAGAGUCGGGGGAGAGAGUCAGCUCGCAGAUCCCGCACCAACCUGCUUUAUGGCAAGGUGGUCCUGCUGACAUCGAUGAGGA
rnacentral:ncRNA from 2 species